AUUAAUUUUAAAGUUUAAAAUAAUAGUAGUUAAUAAAAAUAAUUUUAAUUAUUUAAGUUUUAGUAUUUUUUAAAGAAAUAAUAAUUUUUAUAAUAGUAUAUUUGUAUUGUAAAAGAUAAUUGAAAUAAUUUGAAAAAUUUUUAUUAAAAAAGAAAAUUUAAUUUAUUGUACCUUGUGUAUCAGGGUUUAUUAAAUAAUUAAUAGUUAAAGUUAUUUUUUUCGAAUUUUAAAGAUUUAAUUAUAUAUAAAAGUUACUGUAGAAUAAUUAUUUUAAAUAUAUAAUUAGAAAUGAAAUGUUAAUCGUUUUAAAAUAUAUCUAGUUUUUUAAGAAAUAAAUUUAAUUUAGAUUUAUUAAUUAAAUUUAUUAAUUAGUUAAUAAAUUAAAAUUAUAAAUUUAAUAUUUUAAGGGAUUAGCUUUAAAAUAAAUUUAUAUAUUUUUUAUAAUGUAAAUUUAAAUGUAAGUUUAAAAUUAGCUAUCUUUAAUAAUUUUGUUAUAAAUUAUAAAUUUGUGUAUAAUAUUUAUUAUUAAAUUAAAUUUUUUAUUAAAAUAUUUAUUUAAAUUUUAAUAAUUUAUUAAUUAUGAUAAAAUUAGUAUAUAUAUAUAAAUUUAAUAAUAAAUAAAUUUGAAAGGUUUUAAUAAAGAAUUCGGCAAAUUUUAUAUUCACCUGUUUAUCAAAAACAUGUCUUUUUGUAUUUAAUUUAAAGUCUAACCUGCCCACUGAAAAUUUUUAAAGGGCCGCAGUAUUUUGACUGUGCAAAGGUAGCAUAAUCAAUAGUCUUUUAAUUGAAGGCUUGUAUGAAUGGUUGAAUGAGAUAUAAACUGUUUUUUUAAAAAUUUUAUAGAAUUUUAUUUUUUAAUUAAAAAGUUAAAAUAAAAUUAAAAGACGAGAAGACCCUAUAGAUCUUUAUUUUUAUUUUUUAUAAUUUAAUAAGAUUAUUUAAAAUUAUAAUUUUAUUAAGAAUUUUACUGGGGUGGUAUUAAAAUUUAAUAAACUUUUACUUAUAAUUACAUAAAUUUAUGAAUAAUUGAUCUAAUAAUAUUGAUUAAAAAAUUAAGUUACCUUAGGGAUAACAGCGUAAUUUUUUUUUAGAGUUCAUAUCGACAAAAAAGAUUGCGACCUCGAUGUUGGAUUAAGAGUUAUUUUUAGGUGUAGAAGUUUAAAAUUUAAGUCUGUUCGACUUUUAGAUUCUUACAUGAUCUGAGUUCAAACCGGUGUAAGCCAGGUUGGUUUCUAUCUUUAAUAAAAAAUUAUAUUAUAGUACGAAAGGACCUAAUAUAAAAAAUAUAAAUUUUAUAAUUAUUGAAUAAUAAUAAAAUAAUUUACUAUUUUGGCAGAUUAGUGCAAUAAAUUUAGAA
rnacentral:rRNA from 1 species